AUUGAACGCUGGCGGCAGGCCUAACACAUGCAAGUCGAGCGAGUGGCGGACGGGUGAGUAACGCGUAAAGAACUUGCCUCACAGAUAGGGACCACAUUUGGAAACGAAUGCUAAUACCUGAUACUGUGAGAGAGCUUUGCGUCCCAUUAGCUAGUUGGAGAGGUAACGGCUCACCAAGGCGAUGAUGGGUAGCCGGCCUGAGAGGGUGAUAGGCCACAAGGGGACGGAGACACGUCCCUGAAUCCAACGGGAGGCAGCAGUGGGGAAUAUUGGAAAAUGGACCAAAGUCUGAUCCAGCAAGUCGGUGUGAACGAUGAAGUUUUCGGAAUGUAAAGUGAUUUCAGUAGGGAAGCGGUACCAACAGAAGAAGUGACGGCUAAAUACGUGCCAGCAGCCGCGGUAAUUC
rnacentral:rRNA from 1 species